rnacentral:rRNA from 1 species
AGUGAACGCUGGCGGUAGGCCUAACACAUGCAAGUCGAACGGCAGCACAGGAGAGCUUGCUCUCUGGGUGGCGAGUGGCGGACGGGUGAGGAAUACAUCGGAAUCUACUCUGUCGUGGGGGAUAACGUAGGGAAACUUACGCUAAUACCGCAUACGACCUACGGGUGAAAGCAGGGGACCUUCGGGCCUUGCGCGAUUGAAUGAGCCGAUGUCGGAUUAGCUAGUUGGCGGGGUAAAGGCCCACCAAGGCGACGAUCCGUAGCUGGUCUGAGAGGAUGAGCAGCCACACUGGAACUGAGACACGGUCCAGACUCCUACGGGAGGCAGCAGUGGGGAAUAUUGGACAAUGGGCGCAAGCCUGAUUCAGCCAUACCGCGUGGGUGAAGAAGGCCUUCGGGUUGUAAAGCCCUUUUGUUGGGAAAGAAAUCCAGCUGGCUAAUACCCGGUUGGGAUGACGGUACCCAAAGAAUAAGCACCGGCUAACUUCGUGCCAGCCGCCACCGUAA